rnacentral:lncRNA from 10 species
GGCAAGCCGUUCCGGUCCCCUUCCAUUGUGUGGAAGCUCUGUUCUUUGGCUUUUUGCAAUAAAUCUUGCUGCUGCUCACUGGGUCCACGCUGCUUUUUAUGAGCUGUAACACUCACCACAAAAGUCUGCAGCUUCACUCCUGAAGCCAGUGAGACCACGAGCCCAGCGGGAGGAACAAGCAACUCCAGAUGCGCCGCUUUAAGAGCUGUAACACUCACCGCGAAAGUCUGCAGCCCACCAGAAAGAAAAAACUCCGAACACAUCCGAACAUCAGAAGGAACAAACUCCAGACGCGCGCCCUUAAGAGCUGUAACACUCACCGCGAGGGUCCGCGGCUUCAGUCUUGAAGUCAGUGAGACCAAGAACCCACCAAUUCCAGACACACUAACAGUACCCGCGCUGCAUAUUCCAUGGAGGAGGGGCUGAGUCAAAGGAAUGUGAGUGCUAUAUUGAUUGCCUAGACUAGGGCUCUACAUGUUCCAUUCUUGCUGCUAGUCAUGAUUAUGAUGGGAAAAGAGGUAAGAAGACCUCAAUCAUAAAUUGUGCACCAGCCACUUCUGAUAAGGUCUUGGAAGGCAGAUGCAUAGAAGACAAGGCUGUGCCACUUUCCUUCACUAUAGCAUGCGUUUCUUUAUGGGCAGGGAAGCUGCAGGCAACGGUGUUUUUUUGUUUUGUUUUGUUUUUGUUUUUGUUUUUUGAGACUGAGUCUCACUGUCGGCCGGGCUGGAGUGCAGUGGUGCGAUCUUGGCUCACUGCAACCUCCGCCUCCCAGCUUCAAGCGAUUCUCCUUCCUCAGCCUCCUGAGUAGCUGGGAUUACAGGUGCCCACCACCAUGCCCGGC